rnacentral:rRNA from 1 species
UUUUUACGGAGAGUUUGAUCCUGGCUCAGGACGAACGCUGGCGGCGUGCUUAACACAUGCAAGUCGAACGAUGAAGCCUAGCUUGC